rnacentral:rRNA from 1 species
GCCCGCUCAGAAACUCAAAUGAAUUGACGGGGGCCCGCACAAGCGGUGGAGCAUGUGGUUUAAUUCGAUGAUACGCGAGGAACCUUACCUGGGCUCAAAUGUAUGUUGACGUAUUCUGAAAGGGAUACUUCUUCGGACAAUAUACAAGGUGCUGCAUGGUUGUCGUCAGCUCGUGCCGUGAGGUGUCGGGUUAAGUCCCAUAACGAGCGCAACCCCUAUCAUUAGUUGCCAUCAGGUCAAGCUGGGGACUCUAAUGAAACUGCCUACGCAAGUAGUGAGGAAGGUGGGGAUGACGUCAAAUCAGCACGGCCCUUACGUCCAGGGCUACACACGUGCUACAAUGGCCGGUACAAAGGGCAGCUACCUGGUGACAGGAUGCUAAUCUCAAAAGCCGGUCUCAGUUCGGAUCGGAGUCUGCAACCCGACUCCAUGAAGUUGGAAUCGCUAGUAAUCGCGCAUCAGCAUGGCGCGGUGAAUACGUUCCCGGGCCUU